ACAGUUGAAAUAACUCCUUCGUGGAGGCUGGCUACAUUUUCACAACGUCUGGUCCCAAGCUAGAUCUUCGGGAAAAGGGAUCAAGGAAAUGACUAUUCCUCCAAAUAAAAUGCAACAAGAAGAAUGAAAAAACGUAGAAGAGAAAGCCUCGUGAAACUGAGAAGCAUCUGCAACCACAAACUACAAAAUGUAGCUGCUAAACAAAAUGAAAGUUGGAUCAAAGUGGUGGCAAAUAUCAAGAGUGAAUAUACUCCACGGCAGAGUACUGCAAAUGCUGCACAUCUUUCAUGGAUUCUGGUCCACCUCGUCCUCACGCGGGGAUGCAGACUGACAAGCUUCCACCAUGAAGGGUUGUCAUUUGCCAUAGCAGGGAGAGGAAAAUGGAGCAAAUCAGUCACCAGCUCGUCAUACAGAAGAGUGUCCCACGUCAUAUCUGCUGAUAUGUUAUGGCCAAAGUACAUGACUAUCUCCAAGGAGCUGAGAGGUGAAAUUCGGACAUUUGUCUGGACGGAGUAGAACCAAGAGAGUCGUAAACAUCCUGUGGACUACACACCGUUUAACAAGAUGCAACAGUAUUCUGGAUUCCAGUGCUGCAACUAUAUUCAAUAAAUGGGCCUUGUUCAAAUCCUGAGUACAAAUACUGUCUUCUCUUUAACGGAGCUGUUUCAUGCUUCUGCCUUUCUGUAGAAGGAAAACAACGUCCAUUCUCAGGCUUAUCUGAAUCUAGCACCACUUUUCACAAGUUAUUUUUGCUUCAAGCUACUUUAUGUGGUUCUCUAUUAAUUUCCUAUCUCCACCCUCAACAGUAAGGAGAUACUAAAAACUGUCCAUUUGGUUCCGCUUGUGGGAUUUUACUGAUUUUUAAUUUUGCAAUACUGUCUUGCAUAUUUUAAAUCUGCGUAUCUCUAAGAUGACUCUCCAGAGCUGAUGAAUUUUCUCUUCCAUGCUGAUGAGCCAGCCAUGGGAGAGUGGAGGAGUGGGGGAGGAAAGAGUUACUGUCUCGCGAGCUGUGAGUCUGCCUGCCCACAGCGGCGUUUUGGAUGAGACUCAUUAUUUGUGGAAAUGGUGUGUUCCACAGGCAAAAAUAACUUUUUAAAAAAAGAACAUCUCUGCACUCUCCUGAAGUCAUCUCAAAAUGAAUUCAAGAUUUCUCAUGAAAUGGAGAAAGCUUUCUGAUGGCCUGAAUGGUUCCUUGUGUACUUGACCAUGCCACGUUAAAUCUAAUCUAGGUAACAUUAGGGUCCAGAAAAAGCUAAUAGAGGCUUAAUGAUGAGGUAAUGAGCACAGAGGUCAAGGGUAGGAAACAGGUUUUCUAUUUGGAGCCUCAUAGCCAUGGGAAAAUCUCAGUUGAGAACCAGAAAGAAGCAGAAAGGAGCAAUUGAAGUAGAAGAAUAUGCUCCCUUUCCUUUACCUGAUUUUAAAUUAAACAUGAAGGACACCACGUUUUGGAUAAUAACUUGUGUUCACAUGAGGACCUGUUAAGGAAAAAAGAGAAAAAAGGAAGGAAAGGGAGAAGGUAAAUAGGGGAGAGAACAGGUAAAGGAAGAAUUGACAAGAUGUCUGAAAAAAAAUAACCAGGCCGGGCCCAGUGGCUCAUGCCUGUAAUCCCAAUACUUUGGGAGGCCGAAGUGGGUGAAUCACCUGAGGUUGGGAGUUCGAGACCAGCCUGACCAACAUGGAGAAACCCCAUCUCUACUAAAAACACAAAAUUAGCCAGGCAUGGUGGCGCAUGCCUGUAAUCCCAGCUACUCAGGAGGCUGAGGCAGGAGAAUCGCUUGAACCCGGGAGGCAAAGGUUGCCGUGAGCCGAGAUCGCGCCAUUGCACUCCAGCCUGGGCACCAAGAGCGAAACUCCGUCAAAAAA
ensembl:lncRNA LINC00670 long intergenic non-protein coding RNA 670